UAUGAUGGUAGAUUCAUUGAACUUGUAAAGGUUAGACUUACAUGAUCUUUAAACCAUUACACAAAUUCUCCAUUUCUCAAAUUUUGCAAAUCCCCGUCUGAUAUACUCGGAUUUGCUUCACGUACUUCAACAUCAUAUUGACUGCAGCACAGUUAUAUACUCAACAUGUUUGUAAAGGAACUUGACACAAUUACACCAGACAUAUAUAGUUAUGACUACUUACU
rnacentral:lncRNA from 1 species